rnacentral:rRNA from 1 species
UGAGGAAUAUUGCACAAUGGGGGAAACCCUGAUGCAGCAACGCCGCGUGAAGGAAGACGGUUUUCGGAUUGUAAACUUCUUUUCUUAGUGAAGAAGCAAGUGACGGUAGCUAAGGAAUAAGCAUCGGCUAACUACGUGCCAGCAGCCGCGGUAAUACGUAGGAUGCGAGCGUUAUCCGGAAUUACUGGGUGUAAAGGGAGCGCAGGCGGGACUGCAAGUUGGAUGUGAAAUACCGCAGCUUAACUGCGGAGCUGCAUCCAAAACUGUAGUUCUUGAGUGGAGUAGAGGCAAGCGGAAUUCCGAGUGUAGCGGUGAAAUGCGUAGAUAUUCGGAGGAACACCAGUGGCGAAGGCGGCUUGCUGGGCUCUAACUGACGCUGAGGCUCGAAAGUGUGGGGAGCAAACAGGAUUAGAUACCC